UACGGAGGGUGCAAGCGUUAUCCGGAUUCACUGGGUUUAAAGGGUGCGUAGGCGGGUUGGUAAGUCCGUGGUGAAAUCCCCAAGCUUAACUUGGGAACUGCCGUGGAUACUAUCAAUCUUGAAUAUCGUGGAGGUAAGCGGAAUAUGUCAUGUAGCGGUGAAAUGCUUAGAUAUGACAUAGAACACCAAUUGCGAAGGCAGCUUACUACACAAUGAUUGACGCUGAGGCACGAAAGCGUGGGGAUCAAACAGG
rnacentral:rRNA from 1 species